rnacentral:rRNA from 1 species
CCUACGGGCGGCAGCAGUGAGGAAUAUUGGUCCAUGGGCGGGAGCCUGAACCAGCCAAGUCGCGUGAGGGAAGACGGUCCUAUGGAUUGUAAACCUCUUUAGGCGGGGAGCAAUGCCGGGCACGCGUGCCCGGAGGGAGAGUACCCGCAGAAUAAGCAUCGGCGAACUCCGUGCCAGCAGCCGCGGUAAUACGGAGGAUGCGAGCGUUAUCGGGAUUUAGUGGGUGUAAAGGGUGCGUAGGCGGAUUUUUAAGUCAGCGGUAAAAUGUCCGGGCUCAACCCGGGCCGGCCGUUGAAACUGGGGAUCUUGAGUGGGCGAGAAGUAUGCGGAAUGCGUGGUGUAGCGGUGAAAUGCAUAGAUAUCACGCAGAACUCCGAUUGCGAAGGCAGCAUACCGGCGCCCGACUGACGCUGAGGCACGAAAGCGUGGGGAUCGAACAGGAUUAGAUACCCGGGUAGUC